rnacentral:rRNA from 1 species
GACGAACGCUGGCGGCGCGCCUAACACAUGCAAGUCGAGGGAGAACCACCUCUUCGGGGGUGGGGAGACCGGCGAACGGGUGAGUAACACGUGAGGAACCUACCCUGUAGUCCGGAAUAA